rnacentral:rRNA from 1 species
GAUGAACGCUGGCGGCGUGCCUAAUACAUGCAAGUCGAGCGAACGGACGAGAAGCUUGCUUUUCUGAUGUUAGCGGCGGACGGGUGAGUAACACGUGGAUAACCUAUCUAUAAGACUGGGAUAACUUCGGGAAACCGGAGCUAAUACCGGAUAAUAUUUUGAACCGCAUGGUUCAAAAGUGAAAGACGGUCUUGCUGUCACUUAUAGAUGGAUCCGCGCUGCAUUAGCUAGUUGGUAAGGUAACGGCUUACCAAGGCAACGAUGCAUAGCCGACCUGAGAGGGGGUUCGCCCACACUGGAACUGAGCCGCGGUCCAGACUCCUACGGGAGGCAGCAGUAGGUAAUCUUCCGCGAUGGGCGAAAGCCUGACGGAGCAACGCCGCGUGGGUGAUGAAGGGCUUCGUGUCGUAAAACGCUGUUAUUAGGGAAGAACAUAUGUGUAAGUAACUGUGCACAUCUUGACGGUACCUAAUCAGAAAGCCACGGCUAACUACGUG